UCUCCGUAGGUGAACCUGCGGAGGGAUCAUUGCAGAGUUCAUGCCCUACCGGGUAGAUCUCCCACCCUAUGUUAUUAUUACUUUGUUGCUUGGCGGGCCGUUAGGCUCCGGCCCGACUACCGGCCCCGGCUGGUAAGCGCCCGCCAGAGGACCCAAAACCCUGAAUAUUAGUGUCGUCUGAGUACUAUAUAAUAGUUAAAACUUUCAACAACGGAUCUCUUGGUUCUG
rnacentral:misc_RNA from 1 species